GCCGGGGUGGUGAAAUCGGUAUACACAGCGGAUUUAAAAUCCGCCGCCUUCGGGCUUACGGGUUCAAGUCCCGUCCCCGGCACCA
rnacentral:tRNA from 2 species